rnacentral:rRNA from 1 species
GACGAACGCUGGCGGCGUGCCUAAUACAUGCAAGUAGAACGCAGUUUCGAACGUGUGAGUAACGCGUAGGUAACUGCCUCAUAGCGGGGGAUACCUAUUGGAAACGAUAGCUCAUACCGCAUACUGUGAGAUGUACCUGCGUUGUAUUAGCUAGUUGGUGAGGUAAAGGCUCACCAAGGCGACGAUACAUAGCCGACCUGAGAGGGUGAACGGCCACACUGGGACUGAGACACGGCCCAGACUGCGACGGGAGGAAGCAGUAGGGAAGCGUCGGCAAUGGACGGAAGUCUGAACGAGCAACGCCGCGUGAGUGAAGAAGGUGUUCGGAUCGUAAAGCUCUGUUGUUAGAGAAGCGGUAACUAAACAGAAAGGGACGGCUAACUACGUGCCAGCAGCCGCGGUAAUAC